rnacentral:rRNA from 1 species
GAUGAACGCUGGCGGCGUGCCUAAUACAUGCAAGUCGAGCGAACAGACGAGGAGCUUGCUCCUCUGACGUUAGCGGCGGACGGGUGAGUAACACGUGGAUAACCUACCUAUAAGACUGGGAUAACUUCGGGAAACCGGAGCUAAUACCGGAUAAUAUAUUGAACCGCAUGGUUCAAUAGUGAAAGACGGUUUUGCUGUCUCUUAUAGAUUGAUCCGCGCCGCAUUAGCUAGUUGGUAAGGUAACGGCUUACCAAGGCAACGAUGCGUAGCUGACCUGAGAGGGUGAUCGGCCACACUGGAACUGAGACACGGUCCAGACUCCUACGGGAGGCAGCAGUAGGGAAUCUUCCGCAAUGGGCGAAAGCCUGACGGAGCAACGCCGCGUGAGUGAUGAAGGUCUUCGGAUCGUAAAACUCUGUUAUUAGGGAAGAACAAAUGUGUAAGUAACUAUGCACGUCUUGACGGUACCUAAUCAGAAAGCCACGGCUAACUACGUG